rnacentral:rRNA from 1 species
UACGAAGGGGGCUAGCGUUGCUCGGAAUUACUGAGCGUAAAGGGCGCGUAGGCGGCACUGUUAGUCAGGCGUGAAAGUCCUGGGCUCAACCUGGGAACUGCGCUUGAUACGGCAGAGCUAGAGGAUGGAAGAGGCUCGCGGAAUUCCCAGUGUAGAGGUGAAAUUCGUAGAUAUUGGGAAGAACACCGGUGGCGAAGGCGGCGAGCUGGUCCAUUACUGACGCUGAGGCGCGACAGCGUGGGGAGCAAACAGG